GUGGCAUUAGCUCAGAUGGAUAGAGCAGCGGCCUUCUAAGCCGUCGGUCGCAGGUUCGAAUCCUGCAUGCCGCGCCA
rnacentral:tRNA from 5 species